rnacentral:rRNA from 1 species
GAUGAACGCUGGCGGCGUGCCUUAGGCAUGCAAGUCGAACGGGAAGUCUUCGGACUUCUAGUGGCGGAAGGGUGAGUAACGCGUGGGAAUCUGCCCUUUGGUUCGGAAUAACAGUUGGAAACGACUGCUAAUACCGGAUGAUGACGAAAGUCCAAAGAUUUAUCGCCAGAGGAUGAGCCCGCGUAGGAUUAGCUAGUUGGUGUGGUAAAGGCGCACCAAGGCGACGAUCCUUAGCUGGUCUGAGAGGAUGAUCAGCCACACUGGGACUGAGACACGGCCCAGACUCCUACGGGAGGCAGCAGUGGGGAAUAUUGGACAAUGGGCGAAAGCCUGAUCCAGCAAUGCCGCGUGAGUGAUGAAGGCCUUAGGGUUGUAAAGCUCUUUUACCCGGGAUGAUAAUGACAGUACCGGGAGAAUAAGCUCCGGCUAACUCCGUGCCAGCAGCCGCCGUAA